rnacentral:rRNA from 1 species
AUACGUAGGAGGCGAGCGUUAUCCGGAUUUAUUGGGCGUAAAGCGCUUGCAGGCGGUUUGAGAAGUUGGAUAUGAAAGCUCCUGGCUUAACUAGGAGAGGCUAUUCAAAACUCUCAGACUAGAGGAUGGUAGAGGAAGGUGGAAUUCCGGGAGUAGUGGUGAAAUGCGUAGAUAUCCGGAGGAACACCAGUGGCGAAAGCGGUCUUCUGGACCAAUACUGACACUCAGACGCGAAAGCUAGGGUAGC